rnacentral:ncRNA from 1 species
GUAUUAUAUGAAAGGAGAGAAGGUUAGCACUCCCCUUGACAAGGAUGGAAGAAGUCCUUGGGCCUAACAACAUGCACAUGGUUAAGGCAUUGCCACCUACUUCAUGGCAUCUAACCAAGU